AUGUAUCGAUGGACCCACUUAGGUUCUCAUUUCGAAAUACUGUCUGAUGAAUGUACGUAUAACGUCAUGUCAAAGGGAGCCAUUUCCUUGUUUCACAGCAUGCAACAAGCAGGGGCGCGUCCAGAUAAGAUAACCCUGGUUGGGCUGCUCUCGGUCUAUGCUGCAGUUGGAGCUCUGGAGCUAGGCACUGAACUCGACAGCUAUGCCUCGAAAAGAGGCCUGUACAGCAAUGUAUACAUUGGGACUGCUUUGGUGGAUAUGGACUUGGAAGUGUGGAAUUCUCACCAGAGCCAUACAAGUGUUUGGGAAAUUGCCGUGCAAGAAUGA
rnacentral:rRNA from 1 species